GAUGAACGCUGGCGGCGUGCCUAAUACAUGCAAGUCGAGCGAAUGGAUUAAGAGCUUGCUCUUAUGAAGUUAGCGGCGGACGGGUGAGUAACACGUGGGUAACCUGCCCAUAAGACUGGGAUAACUCCGGGAAACCGGGGCUAAUACCGGAUAACAUUUUGAACCGCAUGGUUCGAAAUUGAAAGGCGGCUUCGGCUGUCACUUAUGGAUGGACCUGCGUCGCAUUAGCUAGUUGGGGAGGUAACGGCUCACCAAGGCAACGAUGCGUAGCCGACCUGAGAGGGUGAUCGGCCACACUGGGACUGAGACACGGCCCAGACUCCUACGGGAGGCAGCAGUAGGGAAUCUUCCGCAAUGGACGAAAGUCUGACGGAGCAACGCCGCGUGAGUGAUGAAGGCUUUCGGGUCGUAAAACUCUGUUGUUAGGGAAGAACAAGUGCUAGUUGAAUAAGCUGACACCUUGACGGUACCUAACCAGAAAGCCACGGCUAACUACGUGCCAGCCGCCGCCGUAA
rnacentral:rRNA from 1 species